rnacentral:rRNA from 1 species
AUUGAACGCUGGCGGCAGGCCUAACACAUGCAAGUCGAACGAGUGGCGGACGGGUGAGUAAUGCUUGGGAAACUGCCUUAUGGAGGGGGAUAACUACGGGAAACUGUAGCUAAUACCGCAUACCAUCGGAUGAGCCCAAAGGGGAUUAGCUAGUAGGUGGGGUAACGGCUCACCAAGCCGACGAUCACUAGCUGGUCUGAGAGGAUGACCAGCCACACUGGAACUGAGACACGGUCCAGACUCCUACGGGAGGCAGCAGUGGGGAAUAUUGCACAAUGGGCGCAAGCCUGAUGCAGCCAUGCCGCGUGAAUGAAGAAGGCCUUCGGGUUGUAAAGUGCUUUCAGUAGCGAGGCGUUACCUACAGAAGAAGCACCGGCUAACUCCGUGCCAGCAGCCGCGGUAAUAC